GUCUUUUUGUUAAUAAUUUAAAGUCUAAUCUGCCCACUGAUAUAUUUAUUAAAGGGCUGCAGUAUUUUGACUGUACAAAGGUAGCAUAAUCAUUAGUCUUUUAAUUGGUGACUUGUAUGAAAGAUUGGAUGAAAUAUAAACUGUCUCUUUUAUAAAAAAAAAAUUGAAUUUAAUUUUUUAAUUAAAAAGUUAAAAUUAUUCAAAAAGACGAGAAGACCCUAUAGAGUUUUAUAAUUUAUUUUGUAAAUAUUUUUAUUUUUAUAUUUUUAUAAUUUUAAAUUAUUUUGUUGGGGUGAUAAAAAAAUUUAAUUAACUUUUUUUAAUAGUUUACAUUAAUAAGUGAUUAAAUGAUCCAAUUUUAUUGAUUAAAAGAAAAAAUUACCUUAGGGAUAACAGCGUAAUUUUUUUUUUUUAGUUCAAAUAAAAAGAAAAGUUUGCGACCUCGAUGUUGGAUUAAGAUAAAAUUUAAAUGUAGAAGUUUAAAAUUUUGAUCUGUUCGAUCAUUAAAAUCUU
rnacentral:rRNA from 1 species